CCUUUCUGCCUGCUAUUGGCUUCGUUUCUCAAAAGCUAAGUUGAUUGUAGAUUUUAUUGGUGGCAAUCUACCAUCUUCUUAUGCCUACGAGAAACGAACACGGUUUUGUAACUCGUCACCUCAGUUUAUAAACCAUACUCAGAUUAAACUGUUCAAUUUACAAAUCGUGCGCGCGGUUAAUAAACCAUACGCACAAUUAAACAAUCAGUGCUCUCAGAUUUGCAAUCCGUAUCCACAAAUUCAUAAACAAUUAAUAAACAGUGCACACGCUUUCGCAAUGGUUUUGCAAACUGAGUCCACUACCGCAGAGGUCCCCAACCACCGGGUCAUGGACAAGUUGCCACCGGUCGCAAGAACAUCCUGAAAAAAUGUGUAUAAUAGCUACGUUACAGUUUAAUCAGGUGUUUUGUCCUUUAUGAGCCGACUUCAAAUAACAUCCCAGAUAGCAGAUGGACUCGGCCCGAAUGUGGCCUCAUGAUGGCACUGCUGGCGUGCUGCCGGCAACGGCAUGCAACAUGUCAGCCAAGUAUGGGCCAGGUAUGGCAAUGAUGGCACUGGAUCCAUGAUGGCAGAUCAUAUUUGGGCCAGUUGUGGGUGGGAUGUAUGUGGCCCAGAUCAGUGUAGUGAUUCUGGCCCAGAUCAGUCUAGUGAUUGUAAGCCACAUUUAAAAUACUGAUUUAUAAUAAAUAAUUAUAAGACUUGAAGGAUUUUCAGGCUAUCUUAAUCUUAAUGUUAAUUUAACCUUUAUUAAAUAAAAUGUUAGUUUUGUAUUAAAAGAAACUAAUAUAUUUGGACAAUAAUGUUUGUCUACAUUUCAAUCACAUAAACUUGCCUUCAGAUCAUGGGUCAAGAUAAUUUUGUUCAAAUGACCCUGAACUUCCAGAAGUUUUUCUUUCUGAAUUUAAAAGUUUCUAUAACGUUGCUUUGAGAAGCACCAUGGAUUGCUUCUAUUUAAACUUGCUUUUGCGUGAUUGUCAUUGUAGCAUGAGUUUAUUCCUGCUGAAGAUUUCUGACUUCAAUGACUAAGUAAAACUAUCAUUGUGUACAAUCAAAUGUUAGAUACUGCAGAAAUAAACAAUAUGUUUCACUGUGCUUUUGCCUGCCGAAGUGUUAAAAAAGAUAAAAUCUUUGUAUCGGUUAUCCUUCGCGUUACGUUAAGGAUGCGCAGUUUAUUUAUGAAGUGCAACAAGAACAUACACGCGGAUGACAUCAAAGUACUGCGAGAGCGACUCGAAAGAUCAUGGACAGCAUUCUGAUUUCAAAUCACUCUCGCGGUAUUUUAACGUCAUCCGUUUGUCAGUUCCUGCAACUCAACAUUAUGUUGAACACCUUGUCAAAAAUGAUUGAGAUGGCCAAUCAAAUCAAAAAAGGCGAGUGCCACUGGCCAAUCACAUAACAGAAGACAAGGUUUCCUGUUAACGGAAGCCGAGCGGCGGCCAAUCAAAUUAACCAAUAGGCGGGGUUACCGUCGGAGUAGCAGUUACACCGCGUCAAUCAAUCAUAACGGACACAGAUUUCAAAGGCAGCAGGAUGAAAGAUAACCAACAUGAAGACUCUGGAGUGGGACAAGAAGGAUGAAGGAUGAUGGGGUGUAUAUGCCAAUAGACACAUCAAGUCACAUUGUGAUUUCAGUGAAAGCUGAUAGAUACAGAGGGCUGGAAAGUGGUUUCAUUGAUUAAGUAAAGAGGUGGGACAAUGAUGCUGACAGGACAGGAGGAGGUGACAUUCAGACAUUCAGCGCAGACAUUUUCAUCCAAAGCAACUUGAGGAAGAAAACAGAAGCAGUUCAUCCUAAAAGUGGGCUGCUGUAAUGUUUACAUCUAUGGAAAGAGGAGCUGAGAAGAAAAGAGACGCUGGAAAGCAGUACUUAUUGUUGAGGACAAUCCUGAAUAGGAACACUUUCUCAUACACAUAGAUUAUUAUUAGUGUUUGAUUUUUUUUCUUUUUCAUUUUUAUGAAUUGUAUUGUUUUAAUUUUUCGUUUUAUUUGAAAUGACCUAAGUUAGAUUCAUGCUAAUACUUUAACUGGACCUUGUAUCUUUGCUGGCUGGCAGUAGAGUUGGUUUCAGAUACACAUGAAGUUUCUAAUUAACUAACUUUUAUGUUCAGUUUGGUUUAAACUUGUAUUUACCCAUGAUAAUUCAUUUAAAUUUCUAUUCAUGCUAAUAUAUUAAUUUCAAUGAACUUCUGUAUUUGUGUAUAGCUGGCAAUUUGGGCAAACUACGUUUUACACACCAAUGUAACUGUCACAAAGUUUUUUUUAUUAUCAGUUUGUUCUAAACUUUUGUUUGUUUACUAAGGAUGAAAUUGCUUUGUAAUUUAAGUUGUUUGUGUUAGAUUCAUGGCAAUAAUGUAUUUGAACAAACUAGUAUUUUUGUUUAUUGCUGGCAGUUUAUACUAGAAGAGUUUUAACACAUACAAUGUUGUAGUGUUAUGGACUUGUGUGCUAUUGAUUAAUAAAAAGGCAAACAAUUUGAAAGUAAUUUUUCGUGUGAUUUAUUUAUGAAUAUAAUUUGGGCAAGAUUAGGCUGAGUUAUGGCUCAGUUUUGGAAGUUCUGGUUAAAUGCUGGUUUUAAUAUGGUUGACCUAUGGCUGAGAACUGGGCCGGAUCAAAAUUGCUAUCUGGGAUAUCAAUCUCUUUCUCUCUCUCUCUCUCUACCAGCGCAUCGGCGAUCACAUUGCUGUCAUUAGAGUUCAAGCAUACAGUACUUCUAAAACACAAUCGAUCAAAGAAUUGCAAAGGUAUGACUUUAUGAAUAAAAUGAAGACGUUCAUUUGAUAUCGCAAAUGAAACAGGC